CAGUGGGCCGCACUGUUGUCGCUCAAAGCGAGGUCAUAGGUGAAGGCGUACGCGGCGCCUGACACUUCAGACGCCAGAGAGAGAGAGAGAGACGGUGGUUUUGAGGACGCAGGCCCGCAGCUCCUCCUGCCUUCCUGCGACGCAAGCGUUCCACUCGAUUAAAGAGCGAGCUUCCGUGGCGAGUGGGUCCAUGACGAUGACUUCUGUUUUGUAUGAUCAACCAUUUUACUGCCUUGUUACAGACACAGUUCGGAAACUAUUAAGAGGGGCGGAGCCGACGGCCUGGCAGGACAUGCUAUAGCCAUGCUCAAGAUGGCGGCAAGGAGGCGGAGAAUGCGGCGCAACGGAGAGGCGGGGCGUGCCGGGAGCAAGGCCACUGCAAUCCAGAUCAGGUGCGUGGCUCACACACCAGAAAUCAGUCUACAUAUCUCCUCGCAGUAUAUAAAAGGGGAGGAGGAGGAAAGAUAAAGUGAGGAGGUGGAGUGUCCGUAGCAGAUGCAGCGCAGGAGCGAUCAAAGAACGACAGAGAACAGCACACAUGAGACGACGACGUGGCCGGCUGAAAGAGCGACCGAGGAGAGGAGCUGAAAGAGCGAUCCGAGCUGCCGAAAAAACUUUAUUGAAACAGAAAGAGUCAAACCUGUGCUCGAGUGAGAUGUCCUUCCUUGGUGGUCAGUGAAACCCGCACGACAGUGAGAGUCUGUCACAAUAUUGUAUACUGUGUAUGUGUAAAUAUUACAUAUAUGUCAUAUUGCUACUAUGGUACAUUUUAGUCUACUUAAUACCUGCAUUAUCCUUUCCAUCCUUUGAAACUGAGCUACUGUGUGGAACAAUGUCCCUUGUGGAUCAAUAAAGUUUGUCUAAGUCUGUUUAAAAAUAUUUUCAAAGAUUAGGUGCAUUUGCAAGCAGCUAAAUUUAGUCAGAAAGCAAACUAUAAACUGCUGGCCAAGAAAGCACCACAAUUCUCAACAAAAGGAGGAAGAAUAUAACUGAAAACAUUUGUACGCACGGACAAAACUUUAGUACAUCGGUAUGUGGAACUAAAUUGAGGCAUGGAUUGAGCAAUGUACAAAUAUGAUCCAGUUUGGGAGGCUGUUAAAGAUAAACGUAUUGAAAUAUUAUUCAUCUCAUAUGCGAAUCCUAACUGACUUGGCUGUUUAUGGAAUGAGCUGUUGUAUUUUAUUCAUGUAAAUUCCAUCCAUCCAUCCAUCUUCUUCCGCUUAUCCGAGGUCGGGUCGUGGGGGCAGCAGCCUAAACAGGGAAGCCCAAACUUCCCUUUUCCCAGGUAUUUUGUCCAGCUCCUCCGGGGAUUCCGAGGCGUUCCCAGGCCAGCCGGGAGACAUAGUCUUCCCAACGUGUCCUGGGUCUUCCCUGUGGCCUCCUACUGGUCAGACGUGCCCGAAACACCUCCCUAGGGAAGCAAUCAGGUGGCAUCUGGACCAUAUGCCCAAACAUUCUCAUCUGGCUCCUCUCGAUGUGGGAGAAGCAGCUGCUUUACUUUGAGCUCCUCCCGAACGACAGAGUUUCUCACCCUAUCUAUAAGGGAGAGCCCCGCCACCCGCGGAGGAAAGUCAUUUCGGUCGCUUGUACCGGUGAUCUUGUCCUUUCGCUCAUAACCCAAAGCUCAUGACCAUAGGUGAGGAUGGGAAUGUAGAUCAACCGGUGAAUUGAGAGCUUUGCCUUCCGGCUCAGCUCCUUCUUCACCACAACGUAACAGCUUCUGCAUUACUGAGGACGCCGCACCGAUUCCGACUGUCAACCUCACGAUCCACUUUUCCCUAACUCGUGAACAAGACUCCGAGGUACUUGAACUCCUCCACUUGGGGCAAGAUCUCCUCCCCAACCCGGAGAUGGCACUCCACCGUUUUCCGGGCGAGAACCAUGGACUCUGACUUGGAGGUGCUGAUUCUCAUCCCAGUCGCUUCACAUUCGGCUGCGAACCGAUCCAGUGAGAGCUGAAGAUCUUGGCCAGAAGAAGCCAUCAGGACCACAUCAUCUGCAAAAAGCAGAGACCUAAUCCUGCAGCCACCAAACCAGAUAAUCUCAACGCCUUGACUGUGCCUAGAAAUUCUGUCCAUAAAAGUUAUGAACAGAAUCGGUGACAAAGGGCAACCUUGGCGGAGUCCAACCCUGACUAGAAACGGGUCCAACUUACUGCCGGCGAUGCGGACCAAGCUCCGACACUGAUCAUACAGGAAGCGGACCGCCACAAUCAGACAGUCUGUUACCCCAUACUCUCUGAGCACUCCCCACAGGACUUCCCGGGGUACACGGUCGAAUACCUUCUCCAAGUCCACAAAGCACAUGUAGACUGGUUGGGCAAACUCCCAUGCACCCUCAAAGACGUACAUAAGUAUUGAGAUAUUAUUCACCUCAUAUGCAAAUCCAAACUGACUUGACUGUUUAUGAAGAUAGCUGUUGUAUUUAAUCCAUGUAUAUUGUGCUAGAAAAUAAAUAAAUGUUGGAUGUCGAACAUACAAACACUGUAUCAAAAAAACAUUUUCAAAGAUUGGGUGCAUUGGCAAACAGCUAAAAUCAUGCACAAACUAUAACCUGCUACCCAAGAAAGCGCAACAACUAUUCUUAACAAAAGGGGAGAAAUAUAACUGAUACAAUUUGUACGCAUGAACACUUGAAACCUUUAGCACAUUAUAUUGUGUCAUGGAUUAAUGAACAAUGUGCAAAUAUGAUCCAGUUUAGGAGGCUGUUGUUAUCCCCAAAGCCCAAAAAAAGUCUGCGGGCUGUAGAGCUUUUUCAUUUCGGGCUCCAGUACUCUGGAAUGCCCUCCCGGUAACAGUUCGAGAUGCUACCUCAGUAGAAGCAUUUAAGUCUCACCUUAAAACUCAUUUGUAUGCUCUAGCCUUUAAAUAGACUCCCUUUUCAGACCAGUUGAUCUGCCGUUUCUUUUCUUUUUCUUCUAUGUCCCACUCUCCAUUGUGGAGGGAGUCCGGUCCGAUCCGGUGGCCAUGUACUGCUCGCCUGUGUAUCGGCUGGGGACAUCUCUGCGCUGCUGAUCAGCCUCCUCUUGGGAUGGUUUCCUGCUGGCUCCGCUGUGAACGGGACUCUCGCUGCUGUGUUGGAUCCGCUUUGGACUGGACUCGCGCGACUGUGUUGGAUCCAUUAUGGAUUGAUCUUUCACAGUAUCAUGUUCUCAUAGUCAUCAUUGUCACCGACGUCCCACUGGGUCAUUAUUGUCACCGAUGUCCCACUGGGUGUGAGUUUUCCUUGCCCUUAUGUGGGCCUACCGAGGAUGUCGUAGUGGUUUGUGCAGCCCUUUGAGACACUAGUGAUUUAGGGCUAUAUAAGUAAACAUUGAUUGAUUGAUUGAUAUUAUUCAUCUCAUAUGCAAAUCCUAGCCGACUUGACUGUUAAUGACUGUUGUAUUUCAUCCACUUAAAUUGUGUUAGAAAAUAAGGACUGGAAUUGAAUGUGUGUAGGUAAAUUGCUAUAAAGUGGAUUAAAUAAGCCUGGUUUCUUCCUACUCCCUUUCAAACAUGUAAAGAGAAAUGUAAAUAUAUGUUAAGUGCACAACUUUGUAACAGUGUUUGGAAAUGAACUUUAACCGUACACGCUACAGAUGUCAUGUUUGUGUUUGUUUUGUUAUCAUCAGCAAGCGAGUUGUUUAUUGCAGUGUUUUUCAACCUUUUUUGAGCCAAGGCACGUUUUUUGCGUUGAAAAAAUCCGGGGGCACACCGCCAGCAGAAAUCAUUACAAAAAUUAA